CACGGGAAGAUGAAGAGCUUCCCCAAGGAUGACCCUUCCAAGCCGGUCCACCUCACAGCCUUCCUGGGAUCCAAGGCUGGCAUGACCCACAUGGAGCAGGAAGUCAACAGGCCAGGAUCCAGGGUGAACAAGAAGGAGGUGGUAGAGGCUGUGACCAUCGUGGAGACGCCACCCGUGGUGGUUGUGAGCUACAUGGAAACCCCUCCAGACCUCUGGACCUUCAAGACCAUCUUCACUGAGCAUGUCAGCAAUGAGUGCAAGAGGCAUGUCUAUAAGAAUUGGCAUAAAUGUAAGAAGAAGACCUUCGCCAAGUACUGCAAGAAACGGCAGGAUGAGGAUGGUAAGAAGCAGCUGGAGCAGGACGACAGCCAAGUCACCCGCGUCACUGCCCACACCCAGAUGUGCCUGCUUCCUGUGCGCCAGAAGAAGGCCCCCCUGGUGGAGAUCCAGGUGAACGCAGGCACCGUGGCCGAGAAGCUGGACUGGGCCCGCGAGAGGCUGGAGCAGCAGGUACCUGUCCAUCAAGUGUUUGGGCAGGAAGAGAUGACUGACGUCACCAGGGUGACCAAGAAGCUGCCCUGCAAGACCCACUGAGGCCUGCACAAGGUGACCUGUAUUGGGGCAUGACAUCCUGCCCAUGUGGCCUCUGUGGCAUGCACUGGGCAGAAAGGCUACCGUCACUGCACUGAGAUCGACAAGAUCUAUAAGAUAGGCCACGACUACCUCAUCAAGGACGGCAGUCUGAUCAAGAACAAUGCCCCCACCGACUAUGACCCGUCUGACAGGAGCAUCAACCCUCUGGGUGGCUUUGUCCACUAUGGUGAAGUGACCAGUGACUUUGUCACACUGAAAGGCUGCGUGGUGGGAACCAAGAAGCAAGCGCUCACCCCCCGCAAGUCCUCGCUGGUGCAGACGCAGCGGCGGGCUCUGGAGAAGAUUGGCCUUAAGCUCAUUGACACCACCUCCAAGCUUGGCCAUGGCCGCUUCCAGACCGUGGAGGAGAAGAAAGCAUUCAUGCGGCCACUCAAGAAAGACGGAAUUGCAAAGGAAGAAGGAGCUUAAUGCCAGGAACAGAUUUUGCAGCUGAUGGGGUCUCAGUAAAAAUUAUUUUCCACUGA